rnacentral:rRNA from 1 species
GACGAACGCUGGCGGCGUGCUUAACACAUGCAAGUCGAACGAUGAAGCCGGAGCUUGCUCUGGUGAAUUAGUGGCGAACGGGUGAGUAACACGUGAGUAACCUGCCCUUGACUCUGGGAUAACUGCGGGAAACUGUAGCUAAUACCGGAUACGACCCUCGGAGGCAUCUCCUGGGGGUGGAAAGAAUUUCGGUCAAGGAUGGACUCGCGGCCUAUCAGCUAGUUGGUGAGGUAACGGCUCACCAAGGCGACGACGGGUAACCGGUCUGAGAGGGUGACCGGUCACACUGGGACUGAGACACGGCCCAGACUCCUACGGGAGGCAGCAGUGGGGAAUAUUGCACAAUGGGCGCAAGCCUGAUGCAGCAACGCCGCGUGAGGGAUGAAGGCCUUCGGGUUGUAAACCUCUUUUAGCAGGGAAGAAGCGAAAGUGACGGUACCUGCAGAAAAAGCACCGGCUAACUACGUGCCAGCAGCCGCCGCAG